UACGAAGGGUGCAAGCGUUACUCGGAAUUACUGGGCGUAAAGCGUGCGUAGGUGGUUAGUUAAGUCUGAUGUGAAAGCCCUGGGCUCAACCUGGGAACUGCAUUGGAAACUGGCUUACUAGAGUGCGGUAGAGGGGUGUGGAAUUCCCGGUGUAGCAGUGAAAUGCGCAGAUAUCGGGAAGAGCACCUAUGGCGAAGGCAGCUCUCUGGGACGGUACUGACGCUGAGACGCGAAAGCGUGGGGAGCGAACAGG
rnacentral:rRNA from 1 species